rnacentral:rRNA from 1 species
AUUGAACGCUGGCGGAAUGCUUUACACAUGCAAGUCGAACGGCAGCACGGACUUCGGCCUGGUGGCGAGUGGCGAACGGGUGAGUAAUGUAUCGGAACGUGCCCAGUCGUGGGGGAUAACGUGGUGAAAACCACGCUAAUACCGCAUACGAUCUAUGGAUGAAAGCGGGGGCCCGCAAGACCUCGCGCGACUGGAGCGGCCGAUAUCAGGUUAGGUAGUUGGUGGGGUAAAGGCCCACCAAGCCGACGAUCUGUAGCUGGUCUGAGAGGACGACCAGCCACACUGGGACUGAGACACGGUCCAGACUCCUACGGGAGGCAGCAGUGGGGAAUUCUGGACAAUGGGCGAAAGCCUGAUCCAGCCAUUCCGCGUGCAGGGUGAAGGCCCUCGGGUUGUAAACUGCUUUUGUACAGAACGAAAAGGUUUCUACUAAUACUAGGGGCUCAUGACGGUACUGUAAGAAUAAGCACCGGCUAACUACGUGCCAGCCGCCGCCGUAA